rnacentral:rRNA from 1 species
ACGGCUCAGUAACACGUAGUCAACAUGCCCAAGGGACGUGAAUAACCUCGGGAAACUGAGGAUAAACCGCGAUAGGCCAAGGUUUCUGGAAUGGACAAUGGCCGAAAUCUACAUGGCCCUUGGAUUGGACUGCGGCCGAUCAGGCUGUUGGUGAGGUAAUGGCCCACCAAACCUAUAACCGGUACGGGCUUUGAGAGAAGGAGCCCGGAGAUGGGCACUGAGACAAGGGCCCAGGCCCUAUGGGGCGCAGCAGGCGCGAAAACUCUGCAAUAGGCGAAAGCUUGACAGGGUUACUCUGAGUGAUGUCCGUUAAGGGCAUCUUUUGGUACCUCUAAAAAUGGUGCAGAAUAAGGGGUGGGCAAGUCUGGUGUCAGCCGCCGCGGUAAUACCAGCACCCCGAGUGGUCGGGACGAUUAUUGGGCCUAAAGCAUCCGUAGCUUGUCCUGCAAGUCUUCCGUUAAAUCCACCUGCUCAACAGAUGGGCUGCGGAGGAUACUACAGGGCUAGGAGGCCAGUGGCGAAGGCGGCUUGCCAGAACGCGCUCGGCGGUGAGGGAUGAAAGCUGGGGGAGCAAACCGGAUUAGAUACCCGGGUAGUCCCAGCUGUAAACGAUGCAGACUCGGUGAUGGGUUGGCUUCGAGCCAACCCAGUGCCGCAGGGAAGCCGUUAAGUCUGCCGCCUGGGGAGUACGGUCGCAAGACUGAAACUUAAAGGAAUUGGGAGAGGCAAGCGGUACUCAGUGGGUAGGGGUAAAAUCCUCUGAUCCACUGAAGACCACGGCGGGGGAGCAC